UGGGCUAUCGCCAAGCGGUAAGGCACAGGACUUUGACUCCUGCACUCGUGGGUUCGAAUCCCGCUAGCCCAG
rfam:Clostridium sp. CAG:75 genomic scaffold, scf312